rnacentral:rRNA from 1 species
GACGAACGCUGGCGGCGUGCUUAACACAUGCAAGUCGAACGGAAAGGCCCUGCUUUUGUGGGGUGCUCGAGUGGCGAACGGGUGAGUAACACGUGAGUAACCUGCCCUUGACGUUGUGAUAACUUCAGGAAGCUGGGGCUAAUACCUGAGAGGAGCUCCUGCUGCAUGGUGGGGGUUGGAAAUUUUCGGCGGUUGGGGAUGGACUCGCGGCUUAUUAGCUUGUUGGUGGGGUAGUGGCCUACCAAGGCGUUGACGGGUAGCCGGCCUGAGAGGGUGACCGGCCACAUUGGGACUGAGAUACGGCCCAGACUCCUACGGGAGGCAGCAGUGGGGAAUAUUGCACAAUGGGCGGAAGCCUGAUGCAGCAACGCCGCGUGCGGGAUGACGGCCUUCGGGUUGUAAACCGCUUUCGCCUGUGACGAAGCGUGAGUGACGGUAAUGGGUAAAGAAGCACCGGCUAACUACGUG